UACGUAGGGGGCAAGCGUUGUCCGGAAUUACUGGGCGUAAAGCGCACGCAGGCGGAAUUGUAAGUCCGUUGUAAAAUUCAGAGGCUCAACCUCUGUCUGUCGGCGGAUACUGCAAAUCUAGAGUAUGUGAGAGGGAAGUGGAAUUCCUGGUGUAGCGGUGAAAUGCGUAGAUAUCAGGAGGAACUCCGGUGGCGAAGGCGACUUCCUGGCACAAGACUGACGCUCAUGUGCGAAAGCUAGGGUAGCGAACGGGAUUAGAUACC
rnacentral:rRNA from 1 species